GCCCUUUUAACUCAGGGAUAGAGUAACGCCAUGCAUGGUAAGGCGUAAGUCAUCGGUUCAAGCCCGAUAAAGGGCU
rnacentral:tRNA from 1 species